rnacentral:rRNA from 1 species
GACGAAGGUGGCGAGCGUUGUUCGGAAUCACUGGGCAUAAAGCGCACGUAGGUGGUGUCGUAAGUCGGGUGUGAAAUCCCUCGGCCUAACCGAGGAACUGCGCCCGAUACUGCGAUGCUUGAGGAUCAGAGGGGUGCAUGGAAUUUCCGGUGGAGCGGUGAAAUGCGUUGAUAUCGGAAGGAACUCCGGCGGCGAAAGCGACUUCCUGGACCAAUACUGACGCUCAUGUGCGAAAGCGUGGGGAGCAAACAGG